rnacentral:rRNA from 1 species
AGAGUGAACGCUGGCGGUAGGCCUAACACAUGCAAGUCGAACGGCAGCACAGGAGAGCUUGCUCUCUGGGUGGCGAGUGGCGGACGGGUGAGGAAUACAUCGGAAUCUACCUUUUCGUGGGGGAUAACGUAGGGAAACUUACGCUAAUACCGCAUAAGACCUUCGGGUGAAAGCCGGGGACCUUCGGGCCUGGCGCGGAUAGAUGAGCCGAUGUCGGAUUAGCUUGUUGGCGGGGUAAAGGCCCACCAAGGCGACGAUCCGUAGCUGGUCUGAGAGGAUGAUCAGCCACACUGGAACUGAGACACGGUCCAGACUCCUACGGGAGGCAGCAGUGGGAAUAUUGGACAAUGGGCGCAAGCCUGAUCCAGCCAUACCGCGUGGGUGAAGAAGGCCUUCGGGUUAGUAAAGCCCUUUUGUUCGGGAAAAGAAAUCCUGCCGGUUAAUAACCAGUAGGAUAGACGGUACCCAAAGAAUAAGCACGGCUAAUCGUGCCAGCAGCCG